AUGCAGCUCAUCCAUGUUGUGGACGGAGGCUACCACGGAGCUUCAAUGGAGCAUCGCCGGGACCGUCGAUGUUGCGAUGGAGCUUUUGCCGCGCCGCGCAAUGCUGCUAUGGAGCAUCGCCGGGGGCGUCUGUGCUUCCAUAGACUUGCAAUGGAGCAUCAGGGAGCUGCAAUGCAACGUAGGUGGUGCUGCGACCCACGGUUCUCGCCGGCGGCGGAGCUGCAAUGCAAUGCGAUGUGGUGCUCUGACCUGUCGCCGGCGACGGAGCUGCAAUGCAAUGCGAUAUGGUGCCCGGACCUGUCGCCGGCUGCGGAGCUGCAAUGCAAUGCGAUGUGGUGCCCGGACCUGCUCAUCUCGUCGGCAGCAGAAGCUCCAAUGGAACGGUGUCUUUUUUGCUGCGGCGGAGAUGACCUGCUCAUCUCGCCGGUCGUCUCUGCUACAAGGCGACCAUGA
rnacentral:rRNA from 1 species